UACGGAGGGUGCAAGCGUUAUCCGGAUUCACUGGGUUUAAAGGGUGCGUAGGUGGGCAGGUAAGUCAGUGGUGAAAUCUCCGGGCUUAACCCGGAAACUGCCGUUGAUACUAUCUGUCUUGAAUAUCCUGGAGGUGAGCGGAAUAUGUCAUGUAGCGGUGAAAUGCUUAGAUAUGACAUAGAACACCAAUUGCGAAGGCAGCUCACUACGGGAUCAUUGACACUGAGGCACGAAAGCGUGGGGAUCAAACAGG
rnacentral:rRNA from 1 species